UGAAAACAAACCAAUUUUCAGUGACCAGACAUGAAAAAGUAGCCAAUGGGCUGAUUGGAGAUCAGGGUCUGCCUGGUGUAUUUGUGCUGUAUGAGCUCUCACCCAUGAUGGUCAAAUUCACAGAGAAACAGCGGUCAUUCACUCACUUUCUAACAGGAAUCUGUGCUAUUAUAGGUGGCGUUUUCACAGUUGCUGGACUCAUCGAUUCUUUAAUAUACCACUCAGCAAGAGCUAUACAGAAGAAGAUUGAGUUGGGAAAAGCUUCCUAGCUAGGUCUCUGAAACUACUAUGAACAAUUGUGUGACACCUGUAUCUGCUGAAAGAGGGAAUGUCUAGCUGUUUGUGCGCGUGUUUGGCCAUCAAGAACACUUCUUUGACACAAGGCCUCACCAUUGGACACACACGGGUACCUCAUAGGCUUGGGAGACUUUCACCAACUAACUGGACUUCAUAAGUAACUGGACACCUCAAGGGUUCAUUAUAACAGUGAGGUACAAAUGAAUAAAAUGUAAGCACAUGAAAUUGAAAAAUACAUGUAGUACAGCAAGUAUUGUUAGUUAAAUUAGCUAAUGUCACUGAAUGCAAUGCAGAGCUAUUGUUUACAAUCCCAAUUCCAAAAAAGUUGGGACACUGUGUAAAAC